GACGUAGGGGGCCAGCGUUGCUCGGAAUUACUGGGCGUAAAGGGUGCGUAGGUGGUUUUUUAAGUCCGUUGUGAAAUCCCUGGGCUCAACCUGGGAAUGGCAGUGGAUACUGGAAAGCUAGAGUGCGGUAGAGGGUAGUGGAAUUCCCGGUGUAGCAGUGAAAUGCGUAGAGAUCGGGAGGAACACCAGUGGCGAAGGCGGCUACCUGGACCAGCACUGACACUGAGGCACGAAAGCGUGGGGAGCAAACAGG
rnacentral:rRNA from 1 species